UACGGAGGGUGCGAGCGUUGUCCGGAAUCACUGGGCGUAAAGGGCGCGUAGGCGGCGCGGGUAGUCAUCGGUGAAAGUUCAGGGCUCAACUCUGAAUCGGCCGGUGAUACUCCCGUGCUCGAGCACUGUAGAGGCAGGUGGAAUUCCGGGUGUAGCGGUGGAAUGCGUAGAGAUGUGGAGGAAUACCGAUGGCGAAGGCAGCCCCCUGGGAUAACACUGACGCUCAUGCACGAAAGCGUGGGGAGCAAACAGG
rnacentral:rRNA from 1 species